GUGAGGAAUUUUCCGCAAUGGGCGAAAGCCUGACGGAGCAAUGCCGCGUGAAGGAUGAAGGCCUAUGGGUUGUAAACUUCUUUUCUCAGAAAAGAAUUAUGACGGUAUCUGAGGAAUAAGCAUCGGCUAACUCUGUGCCAGCAGCCGCGGUAAGACAGAGGAUGCAAGCGUUAUCCGGAAUGAUUGGGCGUAAAGCGUCUGUAGGUUGUUUAAAAAGUAUUCUGUCAAAGAUUAGGGCUUAACCCUAGAUAGGCAGAAUAAACUUCUAAGCUAGAGUUUGGUAGAGGCAGAGGGAAUUCCCGGUGGAGCGGUGAAAUGCGUAGAUAUCGGGAGGAACACCAAAGGCGAAGGCACUCUGCUGGGCCAAUACUAACACUGAGAGACGAAAGCGAGGGGAGCAAAUGGGAUUAGAUACCCCGGUAGUCC
rnacentral:rRNA from 1 species